ACCUGGGUGGCUUUAAAAGAGGAUUAGACAAAUUCAUAGUUUGAAAUAGCAUGAGACUCUUCAUCUCAGGCUUGUGGGUUCAAGCCCCAUGUCGGGCA